CCCGGGAUGAGCAGGGGGCCUGUGCCGUCCUGGCUGUGCACCUCAACACGCUGCUGGGAGAGCGGCCUGUGCAGCACCGCGAGGUGCAGGGCAAUGAGUCUGACCUCUUCAUGAGCUACUUCCCACGAGGCCUCAAGUACCAGGAAGGUGGUGUGGAGUCAGCAUUUCACAAGACCUCCACAGGAGCCCCAGCUGCCAUCAAGAAACUCUACCAGGUGAAGGGGAAGAAGAACAUCCGUGCCACCGAGCGGGCACUGAACUGGGACAGCUUCAACACUGGGGACUGCUUCAUCCUGGACCUGGGCCAGAACAUCUUCGCCUGGUGUGGUGGAAAGUCCAACAUCCUGGAACGCAACAAGGCGAGGGACCUGGCCCUGGCCAUCCGGGACAGUGAGCGACAGGGCAAGGCCCAGGUGGAGAUUGUCACUGAUGGGGAGGAGCCUGCUGAGAUGAUCCAGGUCCUGGGCCCCAAGCCUGCUCUGAAGGAGGGCAACCCGGAGGAAGACCUCACAGCUGACAAGGCAAAUGCCCAGGCCGCAGCUCUGUAUAAGGUCUCUGAUGCCACUGGACAGAUGAACCUGACCAAGGUGGCUGACUCUAGCCCCUUUGCCCUUGAACUGUUGAUAUCUGAUGACUGCUUCGUGCUGGACAACGGGCUCUGUGGCAAGAUCUAUAUCUGGAAGGUUUUUCAGAAAAGGCUUGAUGAAUUCAAGAGGGCGAAAAGCGAAUGAGAAGGAGCGGCAGGCAGCCCUGCAGGUGGCGGAGGG
rnacentral:sRNA from 1 species